rnacentral:rRNA from 1 species
UGGGGAAUUGUUCGCAAUGGGCGCAAGCCUGACGACGCAACGCCGCGUGGAGGAUGAAGAUUUUCGGAUCGUAAACUCCUGUCGAGUGGGAAGAAUAGCUUCGGGGCUAAUAUCCCUGGAGCCUGACGGUACCACUAAAGGAAGCCCCGGCUAACUCCGUGCCAGCAGCCGCGGUAAUACGGGGGGGGCAAGCGUUGUUCGGAAUUACUGGGCGUAAAGGGCUCGUAGGCGGCCAACUAAGUCGGAUGUGAAAUCCCCAGGCUCAACCUGGGAACUGCAUCCGAUACUGGAUGGCUUGAAUUCGGGAGAGGGAUGCAGAAUUCCAGGUGUAGCGGUGAAAUGCGUAGAUAUCUGGAGGAAUACCGGUGGCGAAGGCGGCAUCCUGGACCGACAUUGACGCUGAGGAGCGAAAGCUAGGGGAGCAAACGGG